CCAGGUUAUUGAAGCCUCCCCCAGGGGAAUAUUGGAUUUCCUGAGCAGUAUCAGAGACAUUGUUGCAAACCUACUUGGACUGCAGAAAAAAGAAUAAAAUAAAACUCCUCCACUACAAGAGCAUAAACCUGAAGCUGACGGGGGACAGUAUGGAGCAGCGUGCGCCCUUCAAGACCCAUCCCACGCCCACUUUCCUCUCUACAGACUGAAAUUGGACAGGACUGCAGACACUCCGGCACUAGCAUCCUGGUUCUGGAUGAAAUGAGAUCUCCACACUUAAACCUCAUUCCCUCAAUUGAGCUAAAGCAAUAAAAUUGACUGU